GACGAACGCUGGCGGCGUGCUUAACACAUGCAAGUCGAACGGAAAGGCCCUGCUUUUGUGGGGUGCUCGAGUGGCGAACGGGUGAGUAACACGUGAGUAACCUGCCCUUGACUUUGGGAUAACUUCAGGAAACUGGGGCUAAUACCGGAUAGGAGCUCCUGCUGCAUGGUGGGGGUUGGAAAGUUUCGGCGGUUGGGGAUGGACUCGCGGCUUAUCAGCUUGUUGGUGGGGUAGUGGCUUACCAAGGCUUUGACGGGUAGCCGGCCUGAGAGGGUGACCGGCCACAUUGGGACUGAGAUACGACCCAGACUACUACGGGAGGCAGCAGUGGGGAAUAUUGCACAAUGGGCGGAAGCCUGAUGCAGCAACGCCGCGUGCGGGAUGACGGCCUUCGGGUUGUGAACCGCUUUCGCCUGUGACGAAGCGUGAGUGACGGUAAUGGGUAAAGAAGCACCGGCUAACUACGUG
rnacentral:rRNA from 1 species